UGUUUUGUUUUUUUUUUUUAAUCCCCUGACCCAUUUGGCGCUACCUGGAGACGUGGCUGGUUGUUGUAGCUAGGGUUGGCCUAUGUACUUCCUAGCAGUUGGUGGGUAGAGACAAGAGAUGCUGUUGACUAUUUGUUCUAGGACACACAGCAUCAUGUCUUUUCUGCCACAGAGAACUGUGCAGCCCAACGUGUCACAGUCGUCAAGGUGGGAAACUUGUCAUGAUAGAUGAUUAUGCAGAUUCUUAUCAAGAGCAAGUUGAGGGUCAGGGAAGAAGAAGGGGGAGAAACAGAGAAAGCAAAACUUUCUCUUUGGAGUAUCAUAUCUGACAUCCAGAAGGAGACCCAGUUAAGCUGAACUACUCUCUGCCACUGGGAGCUCUCUCAAAAGCUCGAUUGCUCAACUCAGUAGUUUGGAACAGGAAGUGGAGGCCCUCGUAGUGGCAGGAAGCUGAAGGGGUGAUGAUUUGUAGAGGCAGAAGGUUUAUAUGCUGAGCAGGGCAGCCGGGCCCUACCAGAAUGCUUUUGUAAAGUUCUAGGGACGUUUUCAAAGGUUGUCUUGUUGAGGACAUUGAAUGUGGUGCUGAGAAGACACAGCCUUUGCUCCAGCAUUGUGACCUUCUAGAAGGCCAUGGGUCUGAAGGCCUGUGUACAUUCCAAAUCGUCCCAAGAAGACAGCCAACAGCAUUUUCAGGUUGCAUCUUCUCCCCAUGUCUCUUUAACAUUCUCUUUUAACUACAGGAAAUUUGAAGC
rnacentral:lncRNA from 1 species